rnacentral:lncRNA from 1 species
UGGCUUAUGUGUUAUAUGUUUUACCUGCUUUCGUUAGGAUUUUUGCAUCUAGAUAUUAUGCUUACGUGUUACGUGCUACGUGCUCUUAUGUGUUUAUUUGUUUUAAUUUAUGUUUUAUUUGUUUUACUAUGUACUAUUAAUGCAUGGCGUCACCACACUAGUCCAACGCUAGUUGUGGCUUCUCCCUCCGCUUACUUGCUAGCCCAACGCUAGUAAGGAAUUUUAGAAAUGGGCUAGUCCAACGCUAGAUCCUUUAGGUCGUCUUGCGCUAGAUUCAUUUUUGUGUGCUAUUCACUACAUUUUCAUGCAUAUUUUCAUUUUUAGGAUCUUUUCUCAUUUUUAUGAUAUUCCCUAUUAUAUUAUUCCCUACCCGCUAUAGGUGCUAAUCAUGUCAUUUAGAAUUGCAUCUCAUUUAAGCUAGUUCAUUUGCUUGUUCAUGUUAGGAUAAUUAUUUUUCAAACAUGGGAAAUGGGUGAUUAUAACUUUUUAGUUUAAAUACCCCAUUAAUCCUUGUAUAAGAAAAUUAUGUCACAAGUUUUUGCCUCCCGUAC